UACACGCUGUGACUAGUAUAUCAAUAAGCGGAGGAAAAGAAACUAACAAGGAUUCCCCUAGUAACGGCGAGUGAAGCGGGAGGAGCUCAAAUUUGAGAUCUUAAAGGGUUUCCCUUUACGAAUUGUAGUUUAAAGAAGUGUUUUCUGUUGAGGUUUUGGUAAAAGUUCUUUGGAAUAGGACAUCAUAGAGGGUGAGAAUCCCGUAUUUGACCUUUACUUUCAACUUUGUGAUACACUUUCAAAGAGUCGGAUUGUUUGGGAAUGCAGUCCAAAAUGGGUGGUAAAUUUCAUCUAAAGCUAAAUAUUGGCGAGAGACCGAUAGCGAACAAGUACCGUGAGGGAAAGAUGAAAAGAACUUUGAAAAGAGAGUUAAACAGUACGUGAAAUUGUCAAAAGGGAAGCGUUUGACACCAGUGUUGUUUUUCUGAAAAUCAAUUAAAGAACUGUUUAUGCUAAGUUGUUUAGACUUUAUCAGCUAACUGUUUAGUUUUGAGCUUUUCUUUAAUGCACUUCUCAGUUAACAAGUCAACAUCAAUUUCUUUUGCUGUAAAAAAGCUUGAGGAAGGUGGCUUGAGAUUCGUCUUAAGUGUUUAUAGCCUCUUGCCUAUGCAGUCGGAGAGAUUGAGGUCUGCAGCGUAGAUCCUUCGGGGCUAAAUGCAUUUGUGCUAAGUUAUAACAUUUUAUAGACAACUUGUUGACUAUGAUUUGUCUUGUAGCUUACUCGCUUAUGUUAUUUUACCUACGCUUAGGAUGUUGACAGCAGUAUAGACUGU
rnacentral:rRNA from 1 species